rnacentral:lncRNA from 1 species
GUACUCAGGACCCUUUUCGCCGAUGCGAAGGAGAAGGGUUUUCCAAUUGCUCAUCUUUGGUACUUGUUUCUUCGUCUUCUUCUUCAGUUCCCCCUUUGUUUCUUUUGUGUAUCACUCAGCUUUUGGUCACUGCCCUAGUUUCUUAUGUCUCUCUCUGUCUCGUCAAACAAGCUGCUAGUUUUUUUUUUUUCUUUUUUUUUUUUUCCAACCAAGAGUUUACAUUACAAAAAGAGAAAAAUAUUAUGGUGUAGUUAAAAAAUAAUAAUAAUAAUAAAGAUACUAAUUACAAAAAGUAACUAUAAAUUGGUAAAACAAACUAAAUAAUUCAAGUGUUAAAAAAUAGUAAUCAAGCUAUUAUUUUUUAAAAUUAAUUUAAGUAAAAAAAAGAAGAGAAACAAUAAAUAUAUCAUGCAAUUCACGGUAUUUGUCUAAAUUUAGAAAAAUAUAAUAAUUUUUGGAACUUGUAAAUUUUUACCCUCUUUUUAAAAAAAUGUUAGAUUUUAAUCGGCAGUUACCUAUGCUAAUGUACAAGAUAAUUUGAAAAAUUGUUUAGAAUUUGGUAUAUCACUGCACCACAAACGCAAUCACGAUUGAAGCGACUUUGUAAAUAUUUCAAGCCUUCUCUUCUCUUUCUAUGUGAAACUCUCAAUAAUUGUAAUGUAUUGCAAGACUUAUCUAUUGUAUUAGGAUUCAAUAACUUACUUACUGAAUCACCACAAGGCAGAAGUGGUGGUUUAGCUAUUAUGUGGUGUGAUAAUAUUUCUGUAACUAAGAUGUAUCAAGACAAUCGUUUGGUUGAUGUACAUAUGCAAUAUUAACCCGUAAUGCUCCUUGGAUGUUAAUGGGUGAUUUUAAUGAAAUUCUUUCUAACUCGGAAAAACAAGGAGGAUCACUUAGAGAUGACUGGAGUUUUUGUAAUUUACGUCAUAUGGUUUCAUCGUGUGGAAUAAAAGACUUGCGUUCAAAAGGUGAUAAGUUUAGCUGGGUAGGAGAAUGAUACCAUCACACAAUAAAAUGUUGUUUAGAUCGAGUCAUGGUAAAUUCAGAAUGGGCAGCUUCUUUUCCCAAUGCUGAAGCUGCCCAUUCUGAAGCAGAGUUUUUGGACUUCAAUGGCUCUGACCAUAAGCAUGUUCUUACCACAACAAAUAUCACAAAUCCUGCUUAUAAAAAACCAUUACGUUUUGAUAAAUGUCUUCUUGGUUUAGCAGAUUUCAAACAAGCAGUUGCUGAGAGUUGGAAUUAUUGCAAGACAAGCUCUUUUUAUUCAAUUUCAGACCAAAUAACUAAAUGUUGUAGAGCCAUGUCUCGAUCUAAACAUCACUCUAACAUCAACUCAGCAAAACGCAUCGAUCAUCUCAGUUUCUUCUCAAUAGAGCUAUGGAGAGCAUGAUCAAAUCGCAGCGUAGAUUAAUUCCAAAUCUACGACGACAAUUAACUAAAGCUUACUUAGAUGAGGAAUACUACUGGAAGUUAAAGAGCCGCAAUACUUGGUUACAUGUCGGUGAUAGAAACACUAGUUUCUUCCAAGCCAGCACUAAAAUUCGUUAUCCAAAAAAUUAUAUCACAAGCAUUAAGGAUGAUGAAGAUAAUAUUUACAGAGGAGAUACAAAAAUAGGUGUUCGUGCUCAGCAUUUUUUCAACAAAAUUUUCUUCACUUCUAGUCAUCGGGUUUCUCCGAUUGAUUUUGGUGAUUUUAAGGCUACGGUUACUCCUGCCAUCCAUGAAGACAUGACAAAGGAGUCUAGUAAUUUUGGGAUUUAUAAAGCGGUGUGUACAAUAGGUGAUGAUAAGGCCCCUGGACAUGAUAGUUUGACUGCAAGAUUUUAUAAAAGCUGCUGGGACAUCAUUGGUGAGGACAUUGUAAAAGAGGUUAGAGAGUUUUUUGAAACUGCUUUCAUGAAACCAAAUAUUAACCACACAAAUAUCUGUCUGAUCCCAAAUAUUGAUAUUCCUACAACCCUCUCUGACUUCAGACCUAUUGCUUUAUGCAAUGUUCUUUAUAAGAUAAUUUCUAAAUGACUAGUCUCAAGACUCAAAAAUCAUUUAAGUUUGAUAGUAUCUGAUUCACAAGCGGCUUUCAUCCUAUGGCGUUUGAUCACUGAUAACAUUCUCAUUGCCCAUGAAGUAAUGCAUUCUUUGAAAUCUAGGAAAAAAGUAUCUCAAAGCUAUAUGGCAGUUAAAACAGAUGUUAGUAAAGCUUAUGAUAGAGUUGAGUGGGAAUUCUUGGAAACAACUAUGAAACUUUUUGGUUUUUCUAACACUUGGAUAAACUGGAUAAUGGCUAUGGUUAAAUCAGUCAGAUAUUCAGUCCUAGUUAAUGGAUCUCCUCAAGGCCACAUUGGUCUGGAACGAGGUAUUCGUCAGGGGGAUCCUCUUUACCCUUAUUUAUUCAUCCCGUGUACAGAUAUUUUAAGUCACCUCAUCACAUCUAGAGCGUCAACUGGUGACUUACCAUGCAUUUGAAUCGGAAAUAGAGUUCCAUCUAUUACUCACUUAUAGUUUGCAGAUGAUUCAUUAUUUUUUUGUCAAGCAAACAGUCAUAAUUGUCGAGCUCUAAAAGAAAUUUUCGAAGUGUAUGAGUAUUACUCGGGUCAGAUGAUUAAUACAAGUGUCGAACAGCCUUUAAAUAUGCGCAUCCGAGGAAGGAGCCUAUUCUUGCCCUAGGCCACGUGUGUGGUCGAGCGACUUACAACACAAAGUACUAAAAGACAAACUUAAUAACGUUCGGAAAUUUAAAAGAAAGAAGGAUAGGAUUCACGCGUCUUGAGUAAACGCGGGAAUGCGCUAGGAUUUACUGCCUCGUUAAAACCCCCUUCGGUAAAACCCAUUGGGAUAAAAACCGAGGUGGGAAAAAGAGUAUAGUCGCUCGCUAACGACUUAAACGUCUUCACCCGAUGGUGAUGGUGAAGACCGUCCACAACGGCCCCUCGUCUUGGCUUGAUGAAUCUUCGAAGGCUAGCUUGAUCGAGGCUGGAUCAUGGACGUACUCUUGAAGGAAAAUGUUGAAUUGAUCUUGGGUGUUCUUCUCUAUGCGCCAGCUCCUUCUCGUCGCUCCUUGGUUGAUGAUUGGUACCUUGGGUCGAGUCAUGGAACAAGUCUGUCGAGUGUUGUCGAGCGAUCCGUCGGAAACGUCGACCCGUCCGUGAUUUCGUCUUGGUCGCCGUCCGGGUGUCUCUUCCGUCCGUCCGGUGCUGUCGCCGCUCGAGGUCACAUCACUAUAUUUUGGAAAGAGUAAAACAUCGGACAACUAACUGGAGUUCAAAGACGCUAUCACCUGCUGGCAAAGAAAUCAUGCUAAAAUUAGUGGCUAGGGCAAUGCAUGUUGAUAUAAUGUCAUGUUUUAAAAUUCCUCAAGGAGUAGUUUCUCAGAUCGAAUAUAUGCUUAGGAGGUUAUGGUGGGAAAAAGGUAAUAAUCAUAAUCGAGGAAUUCCAUGGAUCGCUUGGAAGAAACUACAAAAAUCGAAGAAGGAAGGAGGACUAGGGUUCAAAGAUCUUACGAUGUUCAAUGACUCCUUACUUGCUAAACAAGCAUGGCGACUACUAAGAUUCCCAGAUUCUUUAUUUGCUUAAGUUAUGAAGGCCCGUUACUAUAAAGAUGAUCAUAUUCUCAAUGCUACAUCUAAACCAUAUCAAUCUUUUGGAUGGCAAUCUAUUCUCUGUGGUUUGAAAAUCAUUAAAUCAGGUUAUCAAUACAAUUUGGGAACAUGUGAAACCAUUCGCCUAAAUCACGAUAACUUAAUUCCAACUCAUCCUCCGACCCUAGUGUGUUGCAUCAGAUCAGACAUUUUUUUAAAAAUUUCAGAUCUGAUCUCGACUUGGGGUACAUAAAAAUGUUUGAACAAUCAACUAAUAUUAGAUUUAGUGCAUCCAGAUGAUCAAACUCGGUUAUCUAUUAUUUACAUUCCUCAGUCAUUCUCUUAUGAUAAGAUAAUAUGGCCAUAUUCAACGUCGGAGAAUACAAUGUCAGAUCAAGUUAUUGGUUUAUCACUCAUCAUCCAGAUAAUGUUCAUAAUCAAGUUAUUACCCCCCAUGGUUCGAUCCUUUUAAAGACAAAGAUAUGGAAGCUGCCAAUAAUGCCAAAAUUGAAACAUUUUUUGUGGCGCCUCCUUUCUCGGGCUUUAGCUACUAAUGUUAGACUUUAUACUCGGGGAAUGCAUUUAGAUCCUAAUUUUCUUCAUUGUGGACUUGAAUUGAAGAUAUACAUCAUGUUUUUUUCGGCUGCUAUUAUGCUUCUCUAACCUGGCAAGAUUCGACUACUCCUCUAGCUUCUUUGUACAAUUCUUCCAAUACUACAAAGGAUCAUAUUCUGAUAUUUUGCUUCUACAACAUGAGAUAGGAAUAUCACCGGAAAAUAAACUCUUUCCUAUUUGGUUAUUGUGGCAUCUUUGAAAAUCAAGAGACGAUUUAACCUUUAACCAAACUCGAUUUUCUUAUGCUCAUAUAAUUAUGAAAGCUAAAGUUGAUGUAUCUGAAUGGAUUGUGGCUACAAUGCUUGCACAACCUUCUAUUGUGUUCUCUCGCACUGACUUUGUCACUAUCCAUGACCUGGUGUAGGCUAGUUUUCCCAUUCGUUAAAUGUAGUUGAUGCGGCUUUUGAUCCUUACACUUAUAGAUCUUCCUGUGGAUGGAUAAUUCGAGACAAUGAAGGUAAUUCAAAGUAUUGGGGAUCUUCCUUACUCCCAAAUUCGCUUACUCCCUUAAAGGCCGAGGCAAAAAAACUUCUAGCUGCAAUGCAACAAGUAUGGAUGAAAGGCUACCGUCAAAUAUACUUCAAAAGUGAUUGCUCUGAUCUUAUUGAUACACUUAAUGACAAACUUCACAAUUUUUCGGUCGCAGAGAUUAUUCUAGACAUUAAUUAUUGGACUAGUUAUUUUACUGAAGUUUUCUUUAUAUUUGCAAAAAGUUAUUCUAACGAAACUGCCCAUUAAUUAGCAAAAUUUGGUUGUCUAAAUAAAAAUUAUUUUUGUAAUGGUUGUUUGUCCACCAAAAUGGCUGCAGCAUCAAUUGUACCUUGCCAGUAUUAAUUUUUAAUAAAAUUCUAUCUUCUUAAUAUUAAAAGAGGAGUACAAAAUUGAAAAUUGAAAACUUUGGUAAAAAAUUUCCGAAUUUAGCCUUUAAUUUAACAUGAAGGAGAGCCUUUUCUAAAAUCAACAAGGGUUAAUUAGUCAACACAACUUUGUUGACAAAAAUUAUAAUAGAAUCCGCGUGUUUAAAAUGUACCCACCCGUGUAGCUAUUGGAUCAUAUACUUCAGAGUAUUGCAAGGUGGGCAAACAUGAAACAAACGAUCCACUGUGUGUGGACUCCUGUAUCAAUAAAAAGCCCAAAUCAAUAUAUUUUAUUAAGUCCAGCACAAAAUACUUUAAGUCCAAUUAAGUCAUACAAACGCUUUCCUUUUACGUUAGUUUUCAAGAUUCCUGGUAUAUAUUCAAAACAUUUAAUUACCAAUCCGAAAUCAUAUCAUUAACGUACGUAAUCACUAAUUUUUAGCAAUCAAAUUGUAAUUUAAUCAAUAUACUAAUUAUUCGCAAAUCACUAAUUUUGCAUACUAAUUAUUUUCCAAAUGUUUUAAUACACGAUAAAUAUUACUCUACAAUUCUAUUCCAUCGCAUCAUCAAACCAAUUACUUCAUUUUUCAUAUUCUUCUUAGUUCAUUAGAGACGUGAUACCCUACAAGACAAAUGAAGGUCCUGCGAAAGCUGAAAAUAAGACACAACAAGUUUUGGUGAGAUGAUGAGUCUAUAGAAAUAAUAGACUGAUUUUCUUUUCAAAUACUAACAAUUUUUUUUAUAGGUACAAUCAUAUGUCAUGACCAUGGUAAAAUCAUUAUGUGUAAACCUUUGUAACUUAUCAAUUCCCGAAAGCAAUCAGAAACAGGAUUUUCAUUUCCAUUUAUCCAAGAAGACCAUUUCAAGAGUCUUUGAGAUGAUUGAGGUAAAGUUAUUCUUAACCCCGUGAUAAUAUAAAAUCAAAAGUCAUUUAAAAGAUAUUGUAAAUGUAUUUUCAGUUUAUUUUACUAGCUCAAGAUAUUUAAUUAACGCAAGAAUAUGUAUCAAUCUGAAUUUCAUUUAGUAUAAAAAUUAUAAUAAUUUAUUACUAAUCUUUAUAGCUAAAAGAAAACAGUUUUUACAUGGAACCACAGAGAAAAAACCUUCUCAUAGAAGGUAAACAACAAUCAAAGAAGGCAACG